rnacentral:rRNA from 1 species
AUUGAACGCUGGCGGCAGGCCUAACACAUGCAAGUCGAACGAGUGGAGGACGGGUGAGUAAUGUCUGGAAACCUGCCUGAUGGAGGGGGAUAACUACUGGAAACGGUAGCUAAUACCGCAUACCAUCGGAUCUGCCGAGACGGGAUGAGCUAGUAGGUGGGGAAAAGGCUCACCUAGGCGACGAUCCCGAGCUGGGCUGAGAGGGUGACCGGCCACACUGGAACUGAGACACGGCCCAGACUCCUACGGUAGGCAGCAGUGGGGAAUAUUGGACAAUGGGCGCAAGCCUGAUGCAGCCAUGCCGCGUGUAUGAAGAAGGCCUUCGGGUUGUAAAGUACUUUCAUCGGGGAGGCGUUAUCCACACAAGAAGCACCGGCUAACUACGUGCCAGCAGCCGCGGUAAUAC